GCCUGGCUGGCUCAGUCGGUGAAGCAUGCGACUCUUGAUCUCAGGGUCGUGAGUUCGAGCCCCACAUCGGGUG
rfam:Felis catus isolate Cinnamon breed Abyssinian chromosome X, whole genome shotgun sequence.